AAAAAAAAAAAAAAAAAGCCUUCAAGAAGCUUCAAUUUGACUUUUAGGAACCAGAAGACAAAUUUCCAUGUAAAGUUUGAUUCAAAACAGUGUUGAAAUAGUAAGAAAUUAUUAGAUUAGUUUGUUUCCAGGUUCUGUCUUGCUUUCCUGCUGUUUCUCAGGAGCCCAAACAAACAUGAGGAAAAGAGAAUUAUUACAGGUAGUUUACCUUGCAGGGGUUACAAGUGAAAAAGAGAAGGGUUUCUGAGAGUGGAUCUUGAUCUUUCUUAAAGAACAAGAAACAAGACUGUAAUGUACCUUCCAAGAUUGUUUCUUAGCGAAUGACUAUCAUUGAUUCUUUUCCUUUGAGACCUUUUUGAACCAAAACUCUCUGUGGGUUAAAGUGGAAUUUUCCAUUUAUGGUCUGGUUUCUUUCAGGUACAACAUCAAUGAAGGGUCAAACUUCAGAGGGCUUCUUGAAAGUGAGUGGGAAUCUGUCAUGAGCUCACUUACAAGGGGAUUCAAAGUUUAAUAAGACAACCCAACGGCCUCUAAGCAUGAACCAAAACUAAAUGAUUACUCAUUUGCUUCUUGGACUAUCAUGUAUGUAACAUUUAUUGAUCUUCAGUAGUUCUCAGAAACCGGAGAUUUUCAUCUGAUCCAUUGUCCUAAACAUGGAUCUAUUUUGCAAAGCAAAUUAAGAGAUUGUAAUUAAGUGCAAGCAAAUAUGAACAUCAUCCAAACUUCUUAAAAAUCACACCUUGGAAUUUGUAUUAUUUCAACAAGCAGGAAACACAAAGCAAGCAUAAUAUAGUAAAGGUCUUAGCAGGCACACAAGGUUCAUACAUCUACUAAAGCUUGUAUUUCACUAGUGCUGAAUUGCAGAAUUUCCCUGAAGAAGUCCAUCACGAAUCUGCGAGGCAAUAUCUUUCACUGCACCAGGGCCAUGUGGGAUGAAAACAGACGAGGAUUUUGAGGACGCUCCAAUUUCCUUCAUUGUAUCGAAGUAUUGAGUCAACAGCACCAUAUCCAUCACAUCCUUAGCACUUGUUCCAGGCACAUUCUCAGAGAAGCCAAGCACGCUAUCCCUUAGUCCAUCAACAAUCGCCUGGCGCUGACGAGCUAUGCCAACCCCUGAAAGCUGUGAAAUCAAGAUUCAGUUCUUAGACUAUGCUCAAGAAUAAAAUCAUAGAACACUAGAGUGUUAGCAGUGAUAAAUAGAGGCUGAAUUAUCAAUCUGGUAUUCUAGACUCAGCAUCAAUGUCAGCUUGUCACAAAAUAUACCUGCAUUUAUCUCAUUCAUUGCCCUCUUCACAUUAGUAUCUGGUUCUAUAUCCACAAUAAGAGUCUGCACUAUUUCAAACCCAUAGGCAGACAUGGCCUGUAAAGGAAAAGAAAGAUAAGGAUUAGAUUAAUGAUCCUGAAAAUAUGCUACUUCUAGUAAUAUAACCUUUUCUGUUUAAAGUAGCAUGAUACCUUUUCAAGUUCAUCUUCAACAGCUUUUGCAAUUUCAUUCUUCUGUUCAAAAGCAGCAUCCAAGCUCAAUUUUGGAACACUUGCCCUGAUGACAUCAAAAACAUAGGCCUGA
rnacentral:misc_RNA from 1 species